UGUAUACUUAUGUAUAUCUGAACGAAAAUGAUUCAUAACCGACAACACGAAACUGAAUGAUAUGAUUCAACAAAUGCUACCACACAUUUGUGUGUACAGAAGUCCAAGUAGCAACCAUUCCACCAAUUGAAUAAAACAUGAUUGCACUUGAUAUUUUUUUUUUUCUUGCAAUGCGAUAUAAAGUAUGUUUGUAUACAAGUACUAUAGAGGAAUUUUUGCGUGUUCCAAACACGAGAUAACAAUAAUUAUUGAUCUUGACAUUGCGAUGAUAGAGAAUGCGAAAAAAAUGAAGGCCUAGAGAAUGUUGUUUUGUCUCUGUGAGAAGUUAUUAGCCUCAAAAGAACGGGUCAAUUAACUUCCCUUUAAUAGGAGAAUUCACACCCUUCGAGUCCAAAAUUCAUACAAAAAAAGGAUUUAACUCGACUUGGAAAUAAUUAAUUUAUCUUAUCUUUUGGAAUUUCUUUUGAAAUUGAUUUACCUUUCAAUAAAGAAACAAAAUUUGAUAUAACAAAACUGUCGGAAUUUUUUUUUCAAAUCAUCUUCAAAAUUGCAAUUCCUGUUUAGGUAAUGUAGAAAUUAAAAUGAUCCUAAACAAGUGGCAUGGACCAGUCCCCGGAAAACUUGUCGCUCACCACAAUUAAAAGCUUGCUACCUCACAGCACACGCAACAUAGGGAGAGCAGCCCAGUGCCCGAAGGCUGUUCUUUAUCCACUUUGUCAUUGAGGAAUGAGAUUUUGAUUCUGUGAGCUUUUUUAUGCCACAGAAUAAUUCACUCCCGAAAGAGAGGCUUCUAUUCCUAGCAGAAGUAUUAUGUGGUAUACCCAGCUUUGUCGCAUGUUCUCCUGACCUGUGCACACCGCAAGAAUCCUGCCUUUGUCUUUUCAGGAUCUGGAGAGCAAAUCAUUUGAUCUCAAUAUAUUAUAGGUUGGCCAGAUUUUCAAUGAUGACAAUCUUCUGAAACC